rnacentral:rRNA from 1 species
AUGGCGGCGGCUCAUGCGGAGGCGGCGGCGUCCCCCACCCACCGCGCGUCCAUCCAGGCGACGUCGACCCCGCCGUACCCCAGCGCGGCCCGGAUCGCCGACUCCUCCUGCUUCCCCCAGUACACCGCCUCCCUCAAGUGUCUGGAGACCAACCAAGACAAGAGCAAGUGCCAGCAGCAGUUCGAUGACUACAAGGAGUGCAAGAAGAGAGAGAGGGAGGCUCGGCUGGAACGGAACCGGAGCCAGACAUUGUUCGGGUGA